UUGGAGGGCAAGUCUGGUGCCAGCAGCCGCGGUAAUUCCAGCUCCAAUAGCGUAUAUUAAAGUUGUUGCAGUUAAAAAGCUCGUAGUUGAAUUUCGGGGUCAGUAGGUUGGUCAUGCCACUGGUAUGUACUGGUCUCACUGACUCCUCCUUCCUGAUGAGCCGUAAUGCCAUUAAUUUGGUGUUGCGAGGAAUCUGGACUGUUACUUUGAAAAAAUUAGAGUGUUUAAAGCAAGCUUACGCUUGAAUACAUUAGCAUGGAAUAAUGAAAUAGGACGUUCGAUCCUAUUUUGUUGGUUUCUAGGAUUGACGUAAUGAUUAAUAGGGAUAGUUGGGGGCAUUAGUAUUCAAUUGUCAGAGGUGAAAUUCUUGGAUUUAUUGAAGACUAACUACUGCGAAAGCAUUUGCCAAGGAUGUUUUCAUUAAUCAAGAACGAAAGUUAGGGGAUCGAAGACGAUCAGAUACCGUCGUAGUCUUAACCAUAAACUAUGCCGACUAGGGAUCGGAUGAUGUUAAUUUUUUAAUGACUCGUUUGGCACCUUACGGGAAACCAAAGUGUUUGGGUUC
rnacentral:rRNA from 1 species